GAGUUUGAUCCUGGCUCAGGACGAACGCUGGCGGCGCGCCUAACACAUGCAAGUCGAACGAGCGAGAGAGAGCUUGCUUUCUCGAGCGAGUGGCGAACGGGUGAGUAACGCGUGAGGAACCUGCCUCAAAGAGGGGGACAACAGUUGGAAACGACUGCUAAUACCGCAUAAGCCCACGACCCGGCAUCGGGUUGAGGGAAAAGGAGCAAUCCGCUUUGAGAUGGCCUCGCGUCCGAUUAGCUAGUUGGUGAGGUAACGGCCCACCAAGGCGACGAUCGGUAGCCGGACUGAGAGGUUGAACGGCCACAUUGGGACUGAGACACGGCCCAGACUCCUACGGGAGGCAGCAGUGGGGAAUAUUGCACAAUGGGGGAAACCCUGAUGCAGCGACGCCGCGUGGAGGAAGAAGGUCUUCGGAUUGUAAACUCCUGUUGUUGAGGAAGAUAAUGACGGUACUCAACAAGGAAGUGACGGCUAACUACGUGCCAGCAGCCGCGGUAAAACGUAGGUCACAAGCGUUGUCCGGAAUUACUGGGUGUAAAGGGAGCGCAGGCGGGAAGACAAGUUGGAAGUGAAAUCUAUGGGCUCAACCCAUAAACUGCUUUCAAAACUGUUUUUCUUGAGUAGUGCAGAGGUAGGCGGAAUUCCCGGUGUAGCGGUGGAAUGCGUAGAUAUCGGGAGGACACCAGUGGCGAAGGCGGCCUACUGGGCACCAACUGACGCUGAGGCUCGAAAGUGUGGGUAGCANACAGGAUUAGAUACCCUGGUAGUCCACACCGUAAACGAUGAUUACUAGGUGUUGGAGGAUUGACCCCUUCAGUGCCGCAGUUAACACAAUAAGUAAUCCACCUGGGGAGUACGACCGCAAGGUUGAAACUCAAAGGAAUUGACGGGGGCCCGCACAAGCAGUGGAGUAUGUGGUUUAAUUCGACGCAACGCGAAGAACCUUACCAAGUCUUGACAUCCCUUGACGAACAUAGAAAUAUGUUUUCUCUUCGGAGCAAGGAGACAGGUGGUGCAUGGUUGUCGUCAGCUCGUGUCGUGAGAUGUUGGGUUAAGUCCCGCAACGAGCGCAACCCUUACUGUCAGUUACUACGCAAGAGGACUCUGGCAGGACUGCCGUUGACAAAACGGAGGAAGGUGGGGAUGACGUCAAAUCAUCAUGCCCUUUAUGACUUGGGCUACACACGUACUACAAUGGCGUUAAACAAAGAGAAGCAAGACCGCGAGGUGGAGCAAAACUCAGAAACAACGUCCCAGUUCGGACUGCAGGCUGCAACUCGCCUGCACGAAGUCGGAAUUGCUAGUAAUCGUGGAUCAGCAUGCCACGGUGAAUACGUUCCCGGGCCUAGUACACACGGCCCGUC
rnacentral:rRNA from 1 species